UUGAUUCAUUUGUUUCGUUACUCAGAAGGAGAUUCCGCCGGCGGCGUAGGCAAGAGUUUGGGUCCCCCGGCGGGCGCCUGGGUCCGGGCCUCCCCCCCCGGGGGGGUUCGGGCGCCUGGGUCCGGGCCUCCCCCCCCGGGGGGGUUCGGGCGCCGGGGCGGUCCGCCGAAGCAACGUGAGGUAAGUUCACAGGGGUUUGGGAGUUGAUAACUCGGUAAUGAUCCCUCCGCUGGUUCACCAACGGAGA
rnacentral:misc_RNA from 1 species